rnacentral:lncRNA from 1 species
AACAACAUGUAGAAAUGCAGUAACUGCUACAAUGAAGAUGAUGUCCGAUGAAUUUUUUCCUAGAACAGUAUUUGUAUGAUAAGAACUGUAGUGUUAUCUUGUUUUUGAGAUGAAUUAUGAACUCUUGAUUGGCUAAAGUCAGAUAUCAAUAGAAUUAGCAUUUAAAUUUAAUUGAUUUAAAUUUAAUUGAUAUUUAAUUGAUACAUUUGCAACAAAAUACUAAAGUUAUAUAGAUUUUAAUUAUGCAUAGUGUGGCUUGGUAGCACAAUGGAUGGUCUGGUUAUGAAUUCAAAGGUCAUGGGUUCAAUCCCCGUUAAGUACUAAGACUUUUUACCUGUCACUUUUCACUUCUUUCACAUCUGGCAAUGUUGUUAAUGUGAAAAAAUUCCGAGUAGCACCAUGGUUCAGAACCCAUAUUAAACUGUAGGUCCCCCUAUAACUGGAUGGGUAAGUCAGUUCGAAGGUCGGAGGAAGGC